GCCUUCGUAGUGUAGUGGUCAGCAUCCUCGCCGCGUAAUCGAGAGGUCCGUGGUUCGAGUCCAGGCGAGGACA
rnacentral:tRNA from 1 species